UGCAGUCGAGCGGUAAGGCCCUUCGGGGUACACGAGCGGCGAACGGGUGAGUAACACGUGGGUGAUCUGCCUCGCACUCUGGGAUAAGCCUGGGAAACUGGGUCUAAUACCGGAUAUGAGCAGCCUCUGCAUGGGGGCUGUUGGAAAGGUUUACUGGUGCGAGAUGGGCCCGCGGCCUAUCAGCUUGUUGGUGGGGUAACGGCCCACCAAGGCGACGACGGGUAGCCGACCUGAGAGGGUGACCGGCCACACUGGGACUGAGACACGGCCCAGACUCCUACGGGAGGCAGCAGUGGGGAAUAUUGCACAAUGGGCGAAAGCCUGAUGCAGCGACGCCGCGUGAGGGAUGACGGCCUUCGGGUUGUAAACCUCUUUUGACAGGGACGAAGCGCAAGUGACGGUACCUGUAGAAGAAGCACCGGCCAACUACGUGCCAGCAGCCGCGGUAAUACGUAGGGUGCGAGCGUUGUCCGGAAUUACUGGGCGUAAAGAGCUUGUAGGCGGUCUGUCACGUCGAUUGUGAAAACUUGCAGCUCAACUGCAAGCUUGCAGUCGAUACGGGCAGACUAGAGUACUUCAGGGGAGACUGGAAUUCCUGGUGUAGCGGUGAAAUGCGCAGAUAUCAGGAGGAACACCGGUGGCGAAGGCGGGUCUCUGGGAAGUAACUGACGCUGAGAAGCGAAAGCGUGGGUAGCGAACAGGAUUAGAUACCCUGGUAGUCCACGCCGUAAACGGUGGGUACUAGGUGUGGGUUUCCUUCCACGGGAUCCGUGCCGUAGCUGACGCAUUAAGUACCCCGCCUGGGGAGUACGGCCGCAAGGCUAAAACUCAAAGGAAUUGACGGGGGCCCGCACAAGCGGCGGAGCAUGUGAUUAAUUCGAUGCAACGCGAAGAACCUUACCUGGGUU
rnacentral:rRNA from 1 species